AUUUCCGCCGCCGACCCUCAACCGAGGGUGUCGGACGUCGCGACCCGUUCGCCCAGGUCGAUACUCAGGGACGCGUUUCAAGUUCGCCGGCGCGGUCGUCUCGGCGGCCGCGUCACGAUGGCGCGUUUCCGCUGUUCUCGACGCGGACGGUAGCUUUGCGCGCGGGUAAUCGACGCGGUCCUUUGUCCGGCGUCUCCGUACGUCGGACGGCGCUCGCGUCGACGCCGGUCAGCGACGAAUCUUCGGGCCUCUUUCCGACCCGUCUUGAAACACGGACCAAGGAGUCUAGCGUGCGCGCGAGUCGCGGGGUAUCCGAGUCGUCGUAGUCGUUUCGGCGGCGAACGCGACUCGUCACGAUACGAAACCCGUGUACGUACGUUGUGCGAAGGCGUAAUGAAAGUGAAAGGCGACGCUUCGCGCGUCGCCGGGGGAAGACGGUGUUCCGUGUACCACGUUUCGCGGUCAUACGUGUACCGCGGCCGGACACCCGCAUUCCCAGGGCGUCCCGCUCGUACGUCGGCCGUCGGGUCUCGGCUCGGCGGUCGGCGAACUGGGGCGCACCUACAGCGUGCACGCUGGUACCCGAAAGAUGGUGAACUAUGCCCGGCCAGGAUGAAGUCAGGGGAA
rnacentral:rRNA from 1 species